GCUGGUGGCGACCCUCUCUUUGGCGGGCGGUGUAAUCACGCGUACGGUCAUCAGACCUUGCAGAUACCCAAAGGCCCGCCCCGUGCGGGCUUUUUUG
rnacentral:sRNA from 1 species